rnacentral:rRNA from 1 species
GACGAACGCUGGCGGCGUGCUUAACACAUGCAAGUCGAACGAUGAAGCCGGAGCUUGCUCUGGUGAAUUAGUGGCGAACGGGUGAGUAACACGUGAGUAACCUGCCCUUGACUCUGGGAUAACUGCGGGAAACUGUAGCUAAUACCGGAUACGACCCUCGGAGGCAUCUCCUGGGGGUGGAAAGAAUUUCGGUCAAGGAUGGACUCGCGGCCUAUCAGCUAAUUGGUGAGGUAAAGGCUCACCAAGGCGACGACGGGUAGCCGGCCUGAGAGGGUGACCGGCCACACGGGGACUGAGACACGUCCCAGGCUCCGACGGGAGGCAGCAGUGGGGAAUAUUGCACAAUGGGCGUAAGCCUGAUGCAGCAACGCCGCGUGAGGGAUGACGGCCUUCGGGUUGUAAACCUCUUUUAGCAGGGAAGAAGCGAAAGUGACGGUACCUGCAGAAAAAGCACCGGCUAACUACGUGCCAGCCGCCGCAGUAA